rnacentral:lncRNA from 1 species
UUCAAUUUAUAUACAAUGAACAAUGUCUUAAGAUAUUUUUUCUUUGAAGGUUUUCACUGAGAGAAGUAAUGGACAGAUGUUUCACUGAAAGAAGUUGAAGCAGAAGUGAAAGUGCUGCAUGUCAAAUAUCAUCCUUUCUUGUAUGAAAAAUAAUACCACUGGAUUUGACAGUACAAACCUAAAUAAACAUUUGGACUGGAAUGAGAAAGCUGAAAGUUGAAGAAGAUGCAGCAGUGGCAAACCCACUACAGUUCUGAUGGAGAUGCUAAAGGCUCUGUGCCCUUCAAUCCCAUUAUUAGAAGCAAACUCCUCUCUCAGGAACCUGUGUAUUUUCUCAAAGUAUAGGUUUGCAGUAUUUCACAUGUGUGGAUUCAGAGAAAACAAUCCAUUUCUUUGGAGCACCUCUGAAUUUCUUGUCUGCAUUGGGAAUCAUUGGCAAGCUAAAUCUUUGAUAAAAAGUCUGAUACCUGAAGCCCCAGACUGGCACUAGCUAGAAAAGAGAAUAGCAGAUUGGAAUUUACAGACAGGUCCCAGAAUCAACUACAGCUUCAGUGGUAAGGUAGCAAAUGAAGAAGACAAUGUAUUUGUACUUGAAAAUUACAUCUUUACCUUGAUCACAGUACUGUGGUGAACCCAUAUUGCAGACUUGACUCUCCAAACGUCCCUUCGAACCACUACAAGUAUGUGAUUCUGUGAAAUCAUUGCAUUCCAGAGAAAGUGAACUGACAAAAACAUAUUUAUCGUGGUUGGUUUUCUCCCUUCUGAUGUGUUUGUGUUGUUUUAUUUGUGACAUCUGAAAAUAGCUGAGAUAAAUGUGGUUUGGAUAUUCUAUAAAGACUGCUUUUUAUCUCUCAGUGCUGUUAAAUACCCUGUUAAACAAAGAACUCAAAACAGACCUCCUCCCACCCUCCCACCCCCCCACCCCCCAAAAAAACAAACAAACAAACAAAAAAAAAACAGCUGCUCCAAAUUGUUUCUUUUGAAUUCAGUAAUUUACUCCAACUCAACUCAAGUUCAGUAAGUUCUCUAAAUCUGAUGGAGACUUUUCUUGCUUUAAUGUAAUCAUGUUUGGACCUUGC